UACGGAGGGUGCGAGCGUUGUCCGGAAUCACUGGGCGUAAAGGGCGCGUAGGUGGCGCGGGCAGUCAACGGUGAAAGCUCGGCGCUCAACGCCGAGUCGGCCGUCGAUACUCCCGUGCUCGAGCACUGUAGAGGCAGGUGGAAUUCCGGGUGUAGCGGUGGAAUGCGUAGAGAUCCGGAAGAACACCGGUGGCGAAGGCGGCCUGCUGGGCAGUAGCUGACGCUGAGGCGCGACAGCGUGGGGAGCAAACAGG
rnacentral:rRNA from 1 species